GCCUGGCUGGCUCAGUCAGAAGAGCACGCAACUCUUGAUCUUGGGGUUGUGGGUUUGAGUCCCAUGUUGGGUG
rnacentral:tRNA from 1 species